UACGGGGGGGGCAAGCGUUGUUCGGAAUUACUGGGCGUAAAGGGCUCGUAGGCGGCCAACUAAGUCAGACGUGAAAUCCCUCGGCUUAACCGGGGAACUGCGUCUGAUACUGGAUGGCUUGAGUUUGGGAGAGGGAUGCGGAAUUCCAGGUGUAGCGGUGAAAUGCGUAGAUAUCUGGAGGAACACCGGUGGCGAAGGCGGCACCCUGGACCAACACUGACGCUGAGGAGCGAAAGCCAGGGGAGCAAACGGG
rnacentral:rRNA from 1 species